rnacentral:rRNA from 1 species
GCGAGGGCCAACAGCAUGAGACCCAUGGCUUCCUUCGGCGCUGCCGCCUGCUUCCUCCUCUGCGCGCUGCUCCUCGUCCAGCCCGCCCCCGCCGCUGCCGCCGGCGAGAAGCGGUCCUACGUCGUGUACCUCGGCGAGCAUGCGCACGCGUCGCGGCUGCACGACCUCCCAGCCGUCGACCUGGCGGCGGUCGAGGGGAAGGCCGCCGACUCGCACUACGACCUCCUCGCCACCGUCCUCGGAGACAAGGCGAAGGCGCGGGAGGCCAUCUUCUACUCGUACACCAAGCACAUCAACGGCUUCGCCGCCAACCUCGACGCCGACGAAGCCGCCCAGAUCGCCCGGCUGCCGGAGGUGGUGUCGGUGUUCCGGAACAGGGGGUACCAGCUGCACACGACGCGGUCGUGGCAGUUUCUUGGCAUCGCCGGGCCCGGAGGCGUCCCGCGCGGAGCGUCCUGGCGCAAGGCUAAGUUCGGCGAGGGCGUCGUCAUUGGCAACAUCGACACCGGUGUGUGGCCAGAAUCGGAGAGCUUUCGGGAUCAUGGGCUGGGACCAGUCCCCAAGCACUGGAAAGGAACAUGCGAGAAAGGCCAAGACGACAACUUCCACUGCAAUGCGAAGCUGAUCGGGGCGCGCUACUUCAACAAGGGGUACGGGUCGGAAGGGCUCGACACCAAGGCUCCCGAGUUCAACACCCCGCGGGACAACGAGGGGCACGGCACGCACACGCUGUCCACGGCCGGUGGCUCGGCGGUGCCCGGCGCCAGCGUGUUCGGCUUCGGCAACGGCACGGCCUCCGGCGGCUCUCCACGGGCGCACGUGGCCGCGUACCGCGUGUGCUACAAGCCCGUGAACGGCAGCUCGUGCUUCGAGGCGGACAUCCUGGCCGCCUUCGACGCCGCCAUCCACGACGGCGUGCACGUCCUGUCUGUCUCCCUCGGCAACGAUGGUGAGCCCUACGACUACUUCGACGACGCCAUCUCCAUCGGGUCCUUCCACGCCGUCCGCCGCGGCAUCAGCGUUGUCUGCUCGGCCGGAAACUCGGGCCCCAAGCCCAGCUCCAUCUCCAACCUUGCGCCGUGGGUCUUCACUGUCGGUGCCAGCACCAUGGACCGCGAGUUCCCGUCUUACGUCGUGUUCAACGGCACAAAGAUCAAGGGGCAGAGCAUGUCGGAGACAUCGCUCAAGGGCAAGGAGUCUUACCCCAUGAUCGAUUCCGCUGAAGCCGCAGCGCCCGGCAGAGCGGUAGAUGACGCCAAGAUUUGCCUGCAGGGGUCGCUGGACCCGGAGAAGGUGAAAGGGAAGAUCGUGGUGUGCCUGCGUGGGACGAGCGCGCGUGUGGCCAAGGGCCUGACGGUGCUCCAAGCCGGCGGCGCCGCCAUGGUGCUCGCCAAUGACGCCGCCUCGGGCAACGAGAUUAUCGCGGACGCGCACCUGCUCCCGGCCACGCACAUCAGGCACAGCGACGGCCUCACCCUAUACAACUACCUCAAAUCCGCCAAGUCACCAGAGGGGUACCUUGAGAAGCCGGAGACGAUCCUGGAGACGAAGCCAGCGCCGUACAUGGCCGCUUUCUCCUCGCAGGGACCCAACCCCGUCAACCCGGAGAUUCUCAAGCCCGACAUCACGGCGCCCGGGGUGAGCGUGAUCGCCGCGUUUACCCGCGCCAUGGCCCCCACGGAGCUCGCCUUCGACGAACGCCGCGUCGCCUUCACGUCCAUGUCUGGGACGUCCAUGUCGUGCCCGCACGUCUCUGGCCUCGUGGGGCUCCUCAAGGCCCUCCACCCAGACUGGAGCCCCUCCGCGAUCAAGUCGGCAAUGAUGACGACGGCGAUCGACGUGGACAACAAGGGCGAGUCCAUCCUCAACGCAUCCUUGGCGCCGGCUGGGCCCUUCGCCUACGGCGCCGGCCACGUGUGGCCGAGCCGCUCCAUGAACCCCGGCCUCGUCUACGACCUCGGCCCCGACCACUACCUCGACUUCCUCUGCGCGCUCAAGUACAACGCCACGGUCCUGUCCAUGUUCAACGGCGAGCCGUACAAGUGCCCCGAGAAGGCCCCCAAGAUCGAGGACCUCAACUACCCGUCCAUCACCGUCGUCAACCUCACGGCCUCCGGCGCAAUGGUGAAGCGCACGGUGAAGAACGUUGGCUCCCCGUGCAAGUACAAGGCGAUGGUGCGCCAGCCGGCUGGCGUGCAUGUGACGGUGAGCCCCGACGUGAUGGAGUUUGGGAAGAAGGGGGAGGAGAAGACGUUCGAGGUCAAGUUCGAGACCAAGAACGCCAAGCUGGCCAAGAACUACGCGUUUGGCGCGCUCAUAUGGAGCAACGGUGUCCAGUUCGUGAAGAGCCCCAUCGUUGUCAAGACGGCGGCAUGA